GGUCAAGCGAAUAAGAGUUUACGGUGGAUGCCUUGGGACUAUCCGGCGAAGAAGGUCGUGGUAAGCUGCGAAAAGCUGCGGGGAGGAGCACACAUCCUAAGAUCCGCAGAUGACCGAAUGGGGUAACCCGGCAGGAGUUAUGUUCUGUCACUGGCAACUGAAUUCAUAGGUUGUCAGAGCGAAACCAGGGGAAGUGAACCAUCUAAGUACCCUGAGGAAAAGAAAUCAAC
rfam:Spirochaeta sp. JC230 contig815, whole genome shotgun sequence.